AGCAGCCGCGGUAAUUCCAGCUCCAAUAGCGUAUAUUAAAGUUGUUGCAGUUAAAAAGCUCGUAGUUGAAUUUCGGGAUUCGUCCAUUGGUCAGGCUUAACUGUCUGUACUGGUGUGUCGGAUUUCUACCUUCUGAAGAACCUUCAUGCCAUUAAUUUGGUGUGUUGGGGAAUCAGGACUGUUACUUUGAAAAAAUUAGAGUGUUUAAAGCAGGCUAACGUCUGAAUACAUUAGCAUGGAAUAAUGAAAUAGGACGGUACGGUUCUAUUUUGUUGGUUUCUAGGAUCGCCGUAAUGAUUAAUAGGGAUAGUUGGGGGCAUUAGUAUUCAAUUGUCAGAGGUGAAAUUCUUGGAUUUAUUGAAGACUAACUACUGCGAAAGCAUUUGCCAAGGAUGUUUUCAUUAAUCAAGAACGAAAGUUAGGGGAUCGAAGACGAUCAGAUACCGUCGUAGUCUUAACCAUAAACUAUGCCGACUAGGGAUUGGACGAUGUUAAUUUUUUAAUGACUCA
rnacentral:rRNA from 1 species